rnacentral:rRNA from 1 species
AAGUUUGAUCAUGGCUCAAUUGAACGCUGGCGGAAUGCUUUACACAUGCAAGUCGAACGGCAGCACGGGAGCUUGCUCCUGGUGGCGAGUGGCGAACGGGUGAGUAAUGCGUCGGAACGUACCGAGUAAUGGGGGAUAACGCAGCGAAAGCUGUGCUAAUACCGCAUACGCCCUGAGGGGGAAAGUGGGGGAUCGCAAGACCUCACGUUAUUCCAGCGGCCGACGUCUGAUUAGCUAGUUGGUGGGGUAAAGGCUCACCAAGGCGACGAUCAGUAGCGGGUCUGAGAGGAUGAUCCGUCACACUGGAACUGAGACACGGUCCAGACUCCUACGGGAGGCAGCAGUGGGGGAAUUUUGGACAAUGGGGGCAACCCUGAUCCAGCCCUUCCGCGUGAGUGAAGAAGGCCUUCGGGUUGUAAAGCUCUUUCAGCCGGAACGAAACGGUACGCUCUAACAUAGCGUGCUAAUGACGGUUCCCGGCAGAAGAAGCACCGGCUAACUACGUGCCAGCAGCCCGCGGUAAUACGUAGGGUGCGAGCGUUAAUCGGAAUUACUGGGGCGUAAAGCGUGCGCAAGCCGGAUUGUUAAGCAAGAUGUGAAAUCCCCGGGGCUUAACCUGGGGAAUGGCAUUUUGAACGGCAGUCUAGAGUGUGUCAGAAGGGGGGUGGAAUUCCACGUGUAACAAUUGAAAUGCGUAAAUAUGUGGAAGGAACACCAAUGGGCGAAGGCAGCCCCCCUGGGGAUAACACUGACGCUCAUGUACGAAAAGCGUGGGUAGCAAACAGGAUUAGAUACCCCUGGUAGUCCACGCCCCUAACCGAUGUCAACUGGUUGUUUGGGGGAGUGGAAAUCCCCUUAUUAACGAAAGCUAACGCCGUGAAAGUUGACCGCCCUGGGGAAGUACGGGUCGCAACGAUUAAAACUUCAAAUGGAAUUUGACGGG